CUUUCAAACAGAGAAGACCUGAUACACUGGUACAUUCUUGGACUAUAUCCCAAACUCAAUUGCCUCAUUGAACUUUAAUUCUUCCUAACAUGUUAUUGGAACCAUCGUUUUAUUGAGCACUCCAGCCCUAGAUCUGAUGAUCAACAAUGACUUUCUGCUAUCACUCUUGACUUCUCCCCAAGCCAAGCCCUACAGCAUACCCUCAUUUUGUAUUACCCUUUGGCUAGCCAUGCAAAUUUUACACUACCUUGAACCAUUCAGAUCUUAAUACUUUACCAUGUCAUUGAUCAUGUAGGCACAGAUUUCCACAGUCCUGAAGUGGAAAACCAAAUAAUUAUGAAAGACGUACAUUUUGCCUUUGUUACUAGUUCAAGGCUCCCUUUUCUAUACCCAUAGUCUCUUACAAUCUUGGUUCAUAAACUCUUAGAGAUAUGUCGAUGUCAUGAUGGUUGCUCUAUAGACUCCUUCUGCCUAAAUCAGAGAUGUACAAUUUUUGUAAAAGCUUAUAGAUGUCACAGAAUACUUCCUCCCUCAGUGAAAUAUUUUAUAGUAUGCUUCCUGUGUUCGUCUUCUUCCAUCACCAUGGUGAUUAAAGGACUGAUCAGUACCACGGCUACCUGGAACACAAACUCAGACAUAAUUGCUCUGGAACUUCUCCUGUAGUUCAAUCGUUGCUUGAGCCAGCAGAAAUUUGAUUUUAUGUUACUUGCAAAUAAAAGAUGCCUAGCAUCUAAUUCAGUCUUUCGUCUCAGGGAACUGCUUAUUCUACUUUAAGACUUUAGGAGACAGGGGAAGAAGACAAUAGGAGACAGGGGAAGAAGACAAGGGCAGCAUGUGACAAGAGCAAAAAAUCAAUUUGAUGGACUAACAUAACAAAUCUUGUGUUCUCUGAAACAACGGGGCCAGCUUAACAGACUUCACAAGAUUGUCAUGAUGAACAUAUUCAGCAACUCACUGCUCAGGCAGUGUUUCAGGAAGCUUGUCCAGUUGGUCGACAGGUAUAACAAGUUGACUGGGUCUGCAGUCAGCUCCAUCAGAGAGUGUGAAUAACAGAGCAAAAGGCAGAAAGAUUUUAUGUGUCUGGCGAACAGAGCAUCCCCAGGGAAAUCUUCAGAGGUUGAAAACAUUUUUCGGAAUUACUGCAAUAUACUACCUUUGUCAAAGGUGCUUACAGUGAUUGAAACAUAUUAAUUAAGUUUCCUUCCUGACCUUUGGGAUUGGGACUGUAAAGUAGCAUUAAAGCAGAUUUGUAGAAGAUAACAAAGGGGCUGUUAUCCAACCAGUGCUGACCCAAUCAUGCAUGCAUAGGGUCUCCUUAUCACCAUGCUUUUUUCUCCACAGUCUGUAUAGCCAGAGAGAAGUCAGGCUAGGCUUAUAUUCAGGUACUUUCUUCCGCUCUCUAAAGUUUGAAGGAUAUUGUAAAGCUUAUAGUAGGGUGGGGAAAGGGGGUCUUCAAAGACAUGAAAUGGCAAAAAAGAAAUAUGAAAUUUGGAGAGGAGCAGUAUAGUGAAAAUUGCUCAUGGCUUUUCUUACCAAUUGGUUUUUAGCAAUGAUGAUCUCUACAAAUAGUGUUCUCAGUCAUUUUGAAUGGAGAGAUGAACUAAUACAAUUCAUUUUUAAUCAGUAUUUAGGAAAACUGCCAGAUUGCAGGAAGCCAAAAUUGGUUGACUGUUAGUCUUUCCCCUGGAUUAACAAUCAUCUCUAAAUGGAUAACUUCCUUGUCUGUGCCUCAAUUUCAAUGUUCUCAAUAGACCUCAUAUGGCAUUUCCUGUUGAAAUAGUUCCUGAGCUCUCUGGUGAAUUUUGGAGGUGUUUGAGAGGUAGAUCAUCCUCCUGUUCAUGAGCCCCUGGCCUUUUGUGAGUAUCCCUUACACUCUUCAGGACCCUUCCUCCCACAGCACUGCCCUCCUGCCAGGGAACCCCACUGCGCUCGGUCCUGCAGGCCCUGACCUGGCCUCACUUGGGGAUGGACUCCUCAUCUAACAAGAAGGAAAGUUUCCUAGUUGAGAAAAGGAGUGAACUUUGGGAUUAAAGCUCUUCUUAUUUCCUUGACUAUGGCCAGAUUGUUUAACUGAUUUCAUUUCUUUUCUCUUCCUGAGACAUUCAGUCCUUACAGAUGUCCUGCUGUUUGGGUUUCCAAAUUACACUUCUUACACUGACUACCCAGAGCAUAAAUUCUGUUGCCACAUGGAUGUCCUGGAUUGAACCUGGCUCUAACGCUAGUAAACUUUGGGUCCUUAGCUGAAACCCCCCAAAGGCUGAGAACAAAAUGAUUGGUGCCAAAUAACCUCCACAAUCUAAAAUAAGAAGCCAG
rnacentral:lncRNA from 1 species